UAAUCCAUGUGAGUUUUUUUUUUAAAGAAACUGAGAUUGAUGGCUAGUCUGUGAUAUAUUUUAGAGUAUGGCUUGCUAAUGUUAAUGUGGUGCUUGACUUUCCCUUUUACUUACCCACAUUUCAUGGGAAAUGCUCAUUGAGGCACUUGGUGAAGUCUAGAGAACCCAAUGCAGUCACCUAUAUGAUCUGGCAGGAGUUCUUGCUUCUUAUGGAGUCGUAUAAGAUGCAGGGUUUGCUGCCAUAAUCUAAUGCGUGUUUAAAUGUGUCAUAUCCACACGCAGUCAUAAAGUAAAUUCGCAUGUCUCUGUGAUGCAGAUAUGAAUUUAUGAUCUAUAACUUGAGAAACCAGUCAUGGGCAUAAGUUCUGAAUUCUGAAUUUUGCGUACAGUGUGCUUUGCAUGCUUUUUGAGUAUUGUAUAUGUGCUUUCUGGUUGUUGGUGUGGUAACAAGUCCUACGCAAGGUUACCAAUUUGGUGGGGUUUUGUUUGAGAAAAGAAAUCAUGGAGCAGGUUCUACUAUAUUGGAAUUAGUGUUAGUUGAGUUCUUUUGAGUUGCAUUAUAAUACUGUCUUCCGAAGAAGUUUGCUGUGUUACCUGGUGAAAGAUCAAGAAAUCUUUGAGAUAAUAAAAGCAGCAGCAAUAUCAUAGGGAGAACUUGGCCAUAUAUAUGUGUCAUCACAUGCAAUUAAGAAUAUGAAGUAUUGGAAAUUCAUAACUUGGAUCAAAAUAGCAUAUAGAUGCGGAUAAAUGCUUUUAACUAGUAAACUCAGCUGAAUCUUCCUGAGAAUGCAGCAAAACUAAGAAGACAAUUACUUGCUGAUGUAUUUUUGUUGCAACUUGUUUUCAGAUUAUGUUAAGUCUUGUUUGCAAUCAUUUGAGGCAAGAUGAAUUGCUACAUCUAUGCAGCAAGAGAUGAUGAGUGUUGUCUAGGAAUGCAUUCUGCUUGCAGAUAUGUAUAUUGUAAUUGACCUUUAUUUUCAACUUUAAACAUUAUUUUCCCGCUAACUUGAUGCAUGUUUAAUUUGUAGUAUUACAUUUUUCAGAGUAGCGAGCUUGACAUUAGCACUGUGGAAUAUUGAGGGUGGUCCUCAAAAUACAGCCAACUGAACAUGUGAAUAAACAUUAGUUCCUCAUUAAAAAUCACCGAUUUAAUGCAAUAAUUUUAAGGCUUAAAAUUAUCCAAAGUAUCACCUGGUUGUCAUUUUAGUGUUGUGUGAACCUUAUAUAUGCUGGUCUUUUCACUGUGUGUAUCAGAUAAUAUUUUUUUACAAGGUUUGAAUGUUUUAAGAUUAUGGUGGAAAUGUUUAGAAUUUGUUGAUAUUAGUUGGCAGCUGCCAUGAUAAACAGUCAGCUUUCUUUCUUCAUGAACCAGUUAAAGCACCAUAAUUUACCAAAAAUAUUUUUAUAAAUUUUCAGGCUUAAGCUUAAUUGCUGGGCG
rnacentral:misc_RNA from 1 species